rnacentral:rRNA from 1 species
UACGUAGGUGGCAAGCGUUGUCCGGAAUUAUUGGGCGUAAAGCGUCCGCAGGUGGCAGUUCAAGUCUGCUGUCAAAGACCGGGGCUUAACUUCGGAAAAGCAGUGGAAACUGAACAGCUAGAGUAUGGUAGGGGCAGAGGGAAUUCCUGGUGUAGCGGUGAAAUGCGUAGAGAUCAGGAAGAACAUCGGUGGCGAAGGCGCUCUGCUGGACCAUAACUGACACUCAGGGACGAAAGCUAGGGGAGCGAAUGGG